UCUACGGUGGGCAGCAGUGGGGGAUAUUGCACAAUGGGGGAAACCCUGAUGCAGCGACGCCGCGUGUGGGAAGACGGUCCUCUGGAUUGUAAACCACUGUCCCCAGGGACGAAGAUGACGGUACCUGAGUAAGAAGCCACGGCUAACUACGUGCGAGCAGCCGCGGUAAUACGUAGGGGGCAAGCGUUAUCCGGAUUUACUGGGUGUAAAGGGAGCGUAGACGGCAGGUCAAGUCUGGAGUGAAAGGCGGGGGCCCCACCCCCGGACUGCUCUAGAAACUGGACGGCUGGAGUGCAGGAGAGGAUAGUGGAAUGCCUAGUGUAGCGGUGAAAUGCGUAGAUAUUAGGAGGAACACCAGUGGCGAAGGCGGCUUACUGGACUGUAACUGACGUUGAGGCUCGAAAGCGUGGGGAGCAAACAGGAUUAGAUACCCUUGUAGUC
rnacentral:rRNA from 1 species